UACGUAGGUGGCAAGCGUUGUCCGGAUUUACUGGGCGUAAAGAGCGCGCAGGCGGUCGUCCAAGUCGCGUGUGAAAGCCCCCGGCUCAACUGGGGAGGGUCACGCGAUACUGAUCGACUCGAAGGCAGGAGAGGGUAGUGGAAUUCCCGGUGUAGUGGUGAAAUGCGUAGAUAUCGGGAGGAACACCAGUGGCGAAGGCGACUACCUGGCCUGUUCUUGACGCUGAGGCGCGAAAGCUAGGGGAGCAAACAGG
rnacentral:rRNA from 1 species